AAUUGAGACGGAGGGAGUACCAUAUUUUAUAGAUGUUUUACAAUUUUUUCUUAGAUUAAUACCACAAAUAAUUUUUUUAUUAGCAAAGUACUAAAAUAUCCCUCAUCAAACAAAAUACAAUUUAUUCAAACAAAUAUUCUUUUCCCCAUUUCAAUACCAAAGAUUGAAAAAAAAAAAACUCUCUUCUUCUCCCCAAACCCAAACCCAUUAAACCCUCUCUUCGUCUUCAUCUUCUUACAAAACCCUCAAAAAAAUCUUAAAAUUCAAAACAAUCAAAACCUCACAAAGCAUAUAAAAUAGAGUCACAAGACAACAAAAUGGUAAUUUACAUAGAAGAAAAAUCCAUUAAAGUAUGUAUCCAUGUCUUUUUGAGCUUGAAAGUCGAUUUUUGAAUUUUUUUUAACCCUUCGACAGUUUUCGACACAUAGAAGUUGAUUUUUUUGUCAAUUUUCGACACCAACUUGUCAAACAAUAUUAAAAAAAAAAAGUGAAUUUCGAUGCAUACAUGUCGUAAUUUCUCAAAAUUUCGCCAUGUAUGUGUUGAAAAAUCACUACUGCAAUUUAUAUAUAUAUAUAUAUAUAUAUAUAUAUAUAUAUGUGUGUGUGUGUGUGUGUGUGUGUGUGUGUGUGUGUGUGUGUCGAAAUUCACUCUUUUUUUUUUUAUAUUUUCGACAAGUUGGUGUCGAAAAAUUGACAAAAAUUCGAUCUGUAUGUGUCGAAAAACUAUCGACGAGGUUAAAAAACAAAGAACUUCAAAAUCGACUUCCAAGCUUAAAAAAAGAUAUGAAUUCAUACCUUAAUGGGUUCUCCUUGGUCGUAACUACCAUUUUGGUGUCAUUUGACUCCAUUUUGCGAGUUGUGUGAGCUUUUGAUUUCAUUAAUUUUGAGAUUUUUUAGGAGGGUUUGUUGUGAGGAAGAAAGUGGAGGUUGAGGGGUUUGUGAAGAAGUUGAGGGGUUUUGUGUGUCUGGUAUUUAAGAAAGAAAAAUGAGAUUUUUAAUGUUAUUAUGGUAUUGAUUUUUAUUAAAAGUAUUUAUGUCGUUAUCUAUUUAUUAUCUAAUUUUUAUUUUGGUGCUAAUGAAGUGAAAAAAUAUUGGAUAUUAAUUUUAGCUGCCCCCUAGAAAUUAUAAAUUUUCUGUUCAGAAAUUUGGGCAAUCGGUAGUUAAAGGGGCGUUUAGUAAUUAUGAAUAUAUUAGAGGUUUUUUGGUACUCAAACUUUAAUUUAGGGAAUUUUUGGUAAUUUACUCUAAAAAUGCCUUUAUCUUCUUUCAUAAACUCCGAUUUCUCCAAAAAAAAAAAAAAAAAAAAAAAAAAAAGAGGCUUAUCAAAAUGAGUAUAAUAUUCAGUAUCGGAAGGAAAGUAAAUAAAAAGUUGUUAGUCACUUACCUUUUGAGAGUUGGGGAUGGUUGAGCCUCAAGCUAUAGAAUCUCUGGCAAAUUGGUUUGAGAGAU
rnacentral:lncRNA from 1 species